rnacentral:rRNA from 1 species
CCUACGGGUGGCAGCAGUGAGGAAUAUUGGUCAAUGGCCGGAAGGCUGAACCAGCCAUGCCGCGUGAAGGUCAGUGCCCUAUGGGCGUUAAACUUCUUUUGUGCGGGAGCAAUAAUGGUCACGUGUGGCCAGACGAGAGUACCGUACGACUAAGCCUCGGCUAACUCCGUGCCAGCAGCCGCGGUAAUACGGGGGAUGCAAGCGUUAUCCGGAUUUAUUGGGUUUAAAGGGUGCGUAGGCUGGUAGGUAAGUCAGCGGUGAAAUGCCCCCGCGCAACGGGGUGAAGUGCCAUUGAUACUGCCUGGCUGGAAUGCGGAUGCGGUGGGAGGAAUGUGUGGUGUAGCGGUGAAAUGCAUAGAGAUCACACAGAACACCGAUUGCGAAGGCAUCUCACGAAGCCGCGAUUGACGCUGAUGCACGAAAGCGUGGGUAGCAAACAGGAUUAGAUACCCGAGUAGUC